AGUGAACGCUGGCGGUAGGCCUAACACAUGCAAGUCGAACGGCAGCACAGUAAGAGCUUGCUCUUACGGGUGGCGAGUGGCGGACGGGUGAGGAAUACAUCGGAAUCUACUUUUUCGUGGGGGAUAACGUAGGGAAACUUACGCUAAUACCGCAUACGACCUACGGGUGAAAGCAGGGGAUCUUCGGACCUUGCGCGAUUGAAUGAGCCGAUGUCGGAUUAGCUAGUUGGUAUGGUAAAGGCCCACCAAGGCGACGAUCCGUAGCUGGUCUGAGAGGAUGAGAGGCGAACAUGGAACUGAGACACGGGCGAGGCUACUAAGGGAGGCAGCAGUAGGGAAUGUUGCACAAUGGGCGAGAGCCUGAAGGAGCAACGCCGCGUGAGUGAUGAAGGUCUUAGGAUCUUAAAACUCUGUUAUUAAAGAAGAAAAUAUGUGUAAGUAACUGUGCACAUCUUGACGGUACCUAAUCAGAAAGCCACGGCUAACUACGUG
rnacentral:rRNA from 1 species